rnacentral:SRP_RNA from 1 species
GCCAGGCGUGGUGGUGCGUACCUGUAGUCCCAGCUACUCAGGAGGCUGAGGCAGGAGGAUUUCUUGAGCCCAGGAGGUCAAGGCUGCAGUGAGCUAUGAUUGUGCCACUGCACUCCAGCCUGGGCGACAGAGUGAGACCCUAUCUCAA